UGGGGAAUAUUGCACAAUGGGGGAAACCCUGAUGCAGCGACGCCGCGUGAACGAAGAAGGUAUUCGUAUCGUAAAGUUCUGUCCUAUGGGAAGAUAAUGACAGUACCAUAGAAGAAAGCUCCGGCUAAAUACGUGCCAGCAGCCGCGGUAAUACGUAUGGAGCGAGCGUUGUCCGGAAUUAUUGGGCGUAAAGGGUACGCAGGCGGUUUAAUAAGUCGAAUGUUAAAGAUCGGGGCUCAACCCCGCAAAGCAUUGGAAACUGAUAAACUUGAGUAGUGGAGAGGAAAGUGGAAUUCCUAGUGUAGUGGUGAAAUACGUAGAUAUUAGGAAGAAUACCAGGAGCGAAGGCGACUUUCUGGACACAAACUGACGCUGAGGUACGAAAGCGUGGGGAGCAAACGGG
rnacentral:rRNA from 1 species